rnacentral:rRNA from 1 species
AUACGUAGGGGGCGAGCGUUGUCCGGAAUGAUUGGGCGUAAAGGGCGCGUAGGCGGCCCGGUAAGUCUGGAGUGAAAGUCCUGUUUUUAAGAUGGGAAUUGCUUUGGAUACUGUCGGGCUUGAGUGCAGGAGAGGUAAGUGGAAUUCCCAGUGUAGCGGUGAAAUGCGUAGAGAUUGGGAGGAACACCAGUGGCGAAGGCGACUUACAGGACUGUAACUGACGCUGAGGCGCGAAAGUGUGGGGGGCAAACAGGAUUAGAUGCCCUGGUAGUCCACACUGUAAACGAUGAAUGCUAGGUGUAGGGAGUAUCGACCCCUUCUGUGCCGCAGUCAACACAAUAAGCAUUCCGCCUGGGGAGUACGGCCGCAAGGUUGAAACUCAAAGUAAUUGGCGGGG